CAGUCAGAUAGAACUAGAAGGAGGGGCGGCGGCGGAGCCAAAGAAGGCUUUGCUCGCAGACCAUGGAGCCUAGAAAGACGAAUGGCAAAAAGGAGUUCAUGAUAGAGUAUCAUCCCAUAUCCGUCGUCGAGAAAGGCACUCCGUCGGUGGAUGAGGCGCGCUUCAUCAGAAAAUAUAUCUUGGCGGCUUUUAUAGAGCACACCUUCAACCUUUUAUUUGUGGCGACUCUUGCCGGCUAUAUCUAUCUGAUGUUUGGUGCCCUCAUGUACUGCAAACUGUUGUAUGCGGUCUUUGCAAUUCUUCUUAUGUCGCCAUACUUUAUAGUGAUGCUCCAUGCGUUACCCUUAUUGAAGGGGUUUUACAAAGAGAGGUAUGCCACGUAGGCAGCUGAUGCUGACUUGUGGCGUGUGCCAGCUACGAAGACUAUAAUGCCAAGCAUGAAUAAUAGGCGCAAUACCAGGUAGUUCCGAGGUGACCAGGUGCCCUUCAUUGAUUAUGUUCUAAGGUUUUUGUGCACCAUAGAACAUGGAACUGGUGGUGAUUUUUAUUGUUUUUAUGGUGCUACCUCUGAGAAACGGAACCUUAUUAUUUGAGUUCGUCGGUUGAAAACUUCCCUUGUAAAUACUGAAUCCUAUUUGCCUAUGGUAAUGUCAUUGAACACUA